GUAGAUUACCUCACUACACUACAAAAACCUUCCUCUGAUCCACAUUACCACCAAGACAACACCUGGAAUGGUUUGAUUUAGUGCCAAUAAAAACACAAACAUAUUCAGCAAUUGAAGAGUGUAGUGCUGGUAAGGAGGGGUCAAAUGGCUGUGACCACUGAUAUGAUGUCAUGUCCUGUAUAGCUUCAAGUUAAAUUAUGCCAUUUUGUUUCAGUUUGGAAUUAGCAACAGUCAACAUGACCAGGGCUAUUAUAAUACUGCUUCACUUACUCUACUGGAUCCAAGGUGCUGUCAGAGCAAAUGAUGUCAUUCAGCCCAAUAUAAUCUGGGCUAAAAUCGGUGAAUUAGCCACGAUCAACUGCAAACAUACAAAGGAUGCAACUUACAAUCAAAUGUACUGGUUCCGUCAGCAUCAAGGAGAG